ensembl:lncRNA LOC120097435 uncharacterized LOC120097435
AUAGGAUCAAAUCAAGCUCUGUCUGCGCAACUGUGAAAAUGAAGAGCGUUGCAAAGCCAAAGAUGAUAAUUUCCUAGCAUCAUAUGCAUGUUUUGUAAGGCCAUCGAAGCGAACCUUAAGUCUAAGGCGAUCCAGACGGAGAACUCUCAGCUGCCUCUCCAGAGCUGUGUCUGCCUGUGUACCGCCGUUCUUCCCACCUGGACAACAAUAGACUAAACCUCUGAACUGUAAGACAGUUAAAUGCUUUCUGUAUAAGAGUUGCUGUGGCCAUGGUGUCUCUUCACAGAGAUAGAACAGAGACAUGACAGCAAGUCUAGAGAGAAAGAGCAUGGCUUUCUCGGAAGCUCAUCGAUUGCUUUUUCUCUUUGCCCUCUCCAUCCAUGUUCACUAUGGGGAGUCCUUUAUCUCCUACAUUCCAUGUGCACACAUGACAGUUAAGAACUCAGCUUAAGCAUCCCCAGAAGAAGAACAACAAUAUCAACCAACCAGACACCCCAGAGCUUCCAGGGACUAAACCACCAUCCCAAGAGAACACAGGGAUGGACCUAUGGCUCCAGUCGCAUAUGAAGCAGAGGAUGGCCUUGUUGGGCAUCAUUGGGAAGAGAGGCCCUUGGUCAUGGCUCUGACUUUGACUCAGUGGAGCACACGAGUCUGCCCAAGCUGUUCUGGGACACUUACUGUCUGAUUUCUCUAUGAUGAGAUUCAAGUGAACAACCAUGUAGUUCUACAUCUAUGACCUCUGUUGUGUUUCUGUCAGCUCUGAAGAGGGCAUGUCCUCAUGACAUGCUCCAUAACCCCUGGAGAAGCCAUAAUUGAACAAGCUCAUUUAUUACUCAAAAAUCAAUCAAUCAAACCAACAAACCGGGAAAUAAGGAAAUACCAGCUCAGGAGCGACGUGCCAAAGGAGUCUUCACUUUCAAUUUUAAAAUUUGAUUCUCUCAAUCUUUCCUUCUGACACCUAAUAAAAUAUAACAUCCUAAAAAUACAAGAAGUAUCCAAACUCAGGAUUUUAUGUAAACUUCUAAAGGGACCUAACCAGGAUCUGGGCCCAAGGUUUUUAAAACCUGCAGCCCAGCAUCCACAGCUGUGAUUUUGCCUGUAGAUUUUUCUCGGGAUCCCAAGGUGAUUGGUAAAGCCACAUGGUGAGCAGGCACCAGGAGACUACCAGCUGGAAACAAAGCAGAGACAUCACUUGACUAUCGAUCGCAUGUCACUUCUAAGUCUUACCCCACUGACCAAACUUCCUCUCAUUACAAUGUGUCUUCAUCUCCUGGCUUUAAUUCUAAAACAAGUCCAGGCCUGGAUUCCUGGCAUGGGGGAAUCUAGAACAACUUAGCUAUGUUCAUACACACAGAAAGGUUCAUCACAGUGGUUACUGCAGCUUUAGUAGCUGUUAUAGUCAUCACUGUCACUGCAACGGUAAUCACGUUUAUUCUAUGGGAACUACAGCAAAUGUCAGCUCCUGUUGUAGUGAAUAAUAUAAAUAAAAAGUGAGACACCAACCCACACUAUCACUGGCAGGGUAGGGCCACAUGGCAUCUGUGGGGUAUUUUCAUCUCAG